GUUUCUGAACGAUAUUGCUCAGAUCUGAGUUUUUCCCUACGUGAAUCGACCCUAAAAUGUUGAAAUCUUCACCUAGGAACAACUCACGCACGGUCUGUGAAGAAGUUUGGCCGAGACCUCAACCCAAAGGCAGAGAUCCGAGGGUCAUCCGAGAACGGGACUUAAUUUAGAGAAAUCAGUAGUGUUGGACACCUCACGGGCAAAGAAACGCUAGCGAAGGGGCACGCGUCAACCAGGGGCGCGAGGCGUCGGUCAAGAGUGGGCGUGAUCUGAAGGGAAUUGUCACAGAGGAAUGGGUUGUCCCGGGGCGUCAGUCCAGUCUUAGUCAUCAUUUUUGUAUUCGCAUUCUUUUUAAAUUUAUUUUCCAAACGGUCUUGUGUUCUGUGUUUAUCGUUCGAAAAACUUUAUUGAAAUUUGAUGAUUUUCGCUACUUCAUAUUUAAAUCUCUUGUGCA